UACGAAGGGUGCAAGCGUUACUCGGAAUUACUGGGAGUAAAGCGUGCGUAGGUGGUUGUUUAAGUCUGUUGUGAAAGCCCUGGGCUCAACCUGGGAACUGCAGUGGAAACUGGACAACUAGAGUGUGGUAGAGGGUAGCGGAAUUCCCGGUGUAGCAGUGAAAUGCGUAGAGAUCGGGAGGAACAUCCAUGGCGAAGGCAGCUACCUGGACCAACACUGACACUGAGGCACGAAAGCGUGGGGAGCAAACAGG
rnacentral:rRNA from 1 species